AUUGAACGCUGGCGGCAUGCUUUACACAUGCAAGUCGAACGGCAGCGCGGGGCAACCUGGCGGCGAGUGGCGCACGGGUGAGUAAUAUAUCGGAACGUACCCAGAAGUGGGGGAUAACGUAGCGAAAGUUACGCUAAUACCGCAUACGAUCUACGGAUGAAAGUAGGGGACCGCAAGGCCUUAUGCUUUUGGAGCGGCCGAUAUCUGAUUAGCUAGUUGGUGAGGUAAAGGCUCACCAAGGCGACGAUCAGUAGCUGGUCUGAGAGGACGACCAGCCACACUGGAACUGAGACACGGGCCAGACUCCUACGGGAGGCAGCAGUGGGGAAUUUUGGACAAUGGGCGCAAGCCUGAUCCAGCAAUGCCGCGUGAGUGAAGAAGGCCUUCGGGUUGUAAAGCUCUUUUGUCAGGGAAGAAACGGUAGAGGCUAAUAGCCUUUGCUAAUGACGGUACCGGAAGAAUAAGCACCGGCUAACUACGU
rnacentral:rRNA from 1 species